AAUAUUGCGCAAUGGACGAAAGUCUGACGCAGCGACGCCGCGUGUGGGAUGACGGUCUUCGGAUUGUAAACCACUGUCGGGAGGGACGAAUACGCCGCAAGGCGGGUGACGGUACCUCCAAAGGAAGCACCGGCUAACUCCGUGCCAGCAGCCGCGGUAAUACGGAGGGUGCGAGCGUUGUCCGGAAUCACUGGGCGUAAAGGGCGCGUAGGCGGCCUGAUAAGUAGGGGGUGAAAUCCUGCGGCUUAACCGCAGGGCUGCCUUCUAAACUGUCAGGCUCGAGCACAGUAGAGGCAGGUGGAAUUCCCGGUGUAGCGGUGGAAUGCGUAGAGAUCGGGAAGAACAUCAGUGGCGAAGGCGGCCUGCUGGGCUGUUGCUGACGCUGAGGCGCGACAGCGUGGGGAGCAA
rnacentral:rRNA from 1 species